rnacentral:misc_RNA from 1 species
AAAUAAACUCAACAAGCACAAAUGUCCAGCAUUUAAGCUCAACCAUUAUUAUGGCUAUAUACAUAUGCGUGUAAAUACAUAUAUUCCAUAAUUAAAAUUAAUGCAAAAUCCAUAUUCAUUACUAAAAAGUUUGAUCACGUACUUUUCUUAUUGAUCAUCAACCCUAAUAUAAUACUAUAAUAUACUACACUUUAGUUAUUGAUUCCUUUACUGGCAAUAUCACAUAUUUUCAAUGUUCAUAAUAUCUUCAAGAAAAAGAUAGUGAGAUAAUGGGUCAAUUUCAAACAUUGCACGUCUCAACUGAGUGAGAUGAUAUCUAAGGAUUCUCAAUUAUUUACUAAGAAAACAUAAGUGCUAGAUGAUCA